rnacentral:ncRNA from 2 species
UACUUAUCAAGAGUGACCGAGGGACCAGGCCCAAUGACGUCCGGCAACCUCCUCUAAUGGAAAGGUGCCACAUCCUGCAGAAUGAACGUUUCAUUCUGAAAGAUAAGUC